ACGGGAGGCAGCAGUGGGGAAUAUUGGACAAUGGGCGAAAGCCUGAUCCAGCCAUGCCGCGUGAAUGAAGAAGGCCUUAGGGUUGUAAAAUUCUUUCGAUGGUGAAGAUAAUGACGGUAACCAUUAAAGAAGCCCCGGCUAAUUUCGUGCCAGCAGCCGCGGUAAUACGAAAGGGGCUAGCGUUGUUCGGAAUUACUGGGCGUAAAGCGCACGUAGGCGGCCAUGUAAGUUGGGGGUGAAAUCCCGGGGCUCAACCCCGGAACUGCCUCCAAAACUACAUAGCUAGAGGAUGUGAGAGGUUGGCGGAAUUCCGAGUGUAGAGGUGAAAUUCGUAGAUAUUCGGAAGAACACCAGUGGCGAAGGCGGCCAACUGGCACAUUACUGACGCUGAGGUGCGAAAGCGUGGGGAGCGAACAGGAUUAGAUACCCUGGUAGUCCACGCCGUAAACGAUGAGGGCUAGUUGUCGGGCAGCAUGCUGUUCGGUGACGCAGCUAACGCAUUAAGCCCUCCGCC
rnacentral:rRNA from 1 species